rnacentral:lncRNA from 1 species
AUGAAGUCGGGUGGUAUUGAUUCCCUGAGAAGUCAAAAGCUUAUAGUGCUAAAGAUGGAUAUAUGUGGUUGGUAGAGGGUAAAUUCAAUUAGGUUAUUCAGAGCAGUUGGAGAUAGUUUUAGAAGCUCUUUAUUCUAGAAAAAUAUUAAAUUUUUCGUUUGGCUUAGUCUUCACAGACGCUUUUGACGGAGGCUUUCCACUUUAGACGUGAAAUUGCUAACUCAAAUAGUUGUCCUAGAUGUCACAAUUUCAGGAAAUAGUUGAACAUUGUUUGAGGGAUUGUGAGAAGUCUAGAGAAAUUUGGAAUUGUUUGUAUCUUUUCUUUGUGAAUUUUGCAGCAUUGAGCAGUUUUAAAGCCUGGAUUCGGAAGGCUAUGAUUGGAAAAGAAUGUUUGUUUUGCACAGGCUUAUGGUGGAUCUAGAAGCAGGCAC